UACGUAGGCAGCAAGCGUUGUUCGGAAUUACUGGGCGUAAAGAGUGUGUAGGCGGUGCUCCAAGUCUGGUGUGAAAUCUCCCGGCUUAACUGGGAGGGUGCAUUAGAAACUGGAAUGCUAGAGGAUGGGAGAGGUAAGCGGAAUUCCUGGUGUAGCGGUGAAAUGCGUAGAUAUCAGGAGGAACACCAGAGGCGAAGGCGGUUUCCUGGACAGUUACUGACGCUCAGGCACGAAAGCAUGGGGAGCAAAAGGG
rnacentral:rRNA from 1 species